rnacentral:ncRNA from 1 species
GUGAGACAGUUCGGUCCCUAUCCGCUGUGCGCGUAGGAAUAUUGAGAAGGGCUGUCCCUAGUACGAGAGGACCGGGACGGACGAACCUCUGGUGUGCCAGUUGUUCUGCCAAGGGCAUGGCUGGUUGGCUACGUUCGGAAAGGAUAACCGCUGAAAGCAUCUAAGCGGGAAGCCUGCUUCGAGAUGAGUAUUCCCACCAACUUGAUUGGUUAAGGCUCCCAGUAGACGACUGGGUUGAUAGGCCAGAUGUGGAAGCCCGGUAACGGGUGGAGCUGACUGGUACUAAUAGGCCGAGGGCUUGUCCUC